rnacentral:rRNA from 1 species
AUACGGAGGGUGCAAGCGUUAAUCGGAAUUACUGGGCGUAAAGCGUACGUAGGCGGUUUAUUAAGUCAGAUGUGAAAGCCCCGGGCUUAACCUGGGAACUGCAUUUGAAACUAGUAGACUAGAGUAUGGUAGAGGGGGGUAGAAUUCCUAGUGUAGCGGUGAAAUGCGUAGAUAUUAGGAGGAAUACCAGUGGCGAAGGCGGCCCCCUGGACCAAUACUGACGCUGAGGUACAAAAGCGUGGGGAGCGAACAGGAUUAGAUACCCCAGUAGUCC